AACGAACGCUGGCGGCAGGCCUAACACAUGCAAGUCGAACGGCACCUUCGGGUGUAGUGGCGGACGGGUGAGUAACGCGUGGGAACGUGCCUCUUGCUACGGAAUAGCCUCGGGAAACUGGGAGUAAUACCGUAUGUGCCCUUCGGGGGAAAGAUUUAUCGGCAAGAGAUCGGCCCGCGUUGGAUUAGGUAGUUGGUGGGGUAACGGCCUACCAAGCCGACGAUCCAUAGCUGGUUUGAGAGGAUGAU
rnacentral:rRNA from 1 species